UUUGCGCAUGGGCGAAAGCCUGNCGCAGCAAUUCCGCGUGGGGGACGAAGGCCCUAGGGUCGUAAACCCCUUUUGUGAAGGAAGAAGUUCUGACGGUACUUCACGAAUAAGACACGGCUAACUACGUGCCAGCAGCCGCGGUAAUACGUAGGUGUCAAGCGUUGUCCGGAUUUAUUGGGCGUAAAGCGCCCGCAGGCGGCUUGCCAAGUUUGAAGUGAAAUCUCCCGGCUCAACUGGGAGGGUGCUUCGAAAACUGGCAGGCUUGAGGCAGGGAGAGGGAUGUGGAAUUCCCGGUGUAGUGGUGAAAUGCGUAGAUAUCGGGAGGAACACCAGUGGCGAAGGCGGCAUCCUGGCCCUGUCCUGACGCUCAGGGGCGAAAGCGUGGGGAGCAAACCGGAUUAGAUACCCGGGUAGUCCACGCCGUAAACGAUGAGUACUAGGUGUAGGGGGUAUCGACCCCCUCUGUGCCGAAGCUAACGCGAUAAGUACUCCGCCUGGGGACUACGGCCGCAAGGCUAAAACUCAAAAGAAUUGACGGA
rnacentral:rRNA from 1 species